rnacentral:tRNA from 3 species
GCUCCCAUGGCUCAGGUGGUAGAGCGCGUCCUUGGUAAGGACGAGGUCAGCAGUUCAAAUCUGCUUGGGAGCUCCA